CCUACGGGGGGCAGCAGUGGGGAAUAUUGGACAAUGGGGGGAACCCUGAUCCAGCCAUGCCGCGUGUGUGAAGAAGGCCCUCGGGUUGUAAAGCACUUUCAGUGAGGAAGAACGCCUGGUGGUUAAUACCCAUCAGGAAAGACAUCACUCACAGAAGAAGCACCGGCUAACUCCGUGCCAGCAGCCGCGGUAAUACGGAGGGUGCGAGCGUUAAUCGGAAUUACUUGGCGUAAAGCGCGCGUAGGUGGCUUGAUAAGCCGGUUGUGAAAGCCCCGGGCUCAACCUGGGAACGGCAUCCGGAACUGUCAAGCUAGAGUGCAGGAGAGGAAGGUAGAAUUCCCGGUGUAGCGGUGAAAUGCGUAGAGAUCGGGAGGAAUACCAGUGGCGAAGGCGGCCUUCUGGACUGACACUGACACUGAGGUGCGAAAGCGUGGGUAGCAAACAGGAUUAGAUACCCUGUAGUC
rnacentral:rRNA from 1 species